rnacentral:rRNA from 1 species
AUACGGAGGGUGCAAACGUUGUUCGGAAUUACUGGGCGUAAAGCGCGCGUAGGCGGUUUGUUAAGUCAGAUGUGAAAAUCCACAGCUCAACUGUGGAAGUGCAUUUGAAACUGGCAGACUUGAGUACUGGAGGGGGUGGUGGAAUUCCCGGUGUAGAGGUGAAAUUCGUAGAUAUCGGGAGGAAUACCGGUGGCGAAGGCGACCACCUGGCCAGAUACUGACGCUGAGGUGCGAAAGCGUGGGGAGCAAACAGGAUUAGAAACCCUAGUAGUCC